rfam:Myotis brandtii contig284977, whole genome shotgun sequence.
GCCAGUGUGGCUCAGUGGAUAGAGCAUCAGCCUGCAGACUGAAGGGAACCCGGUUCAAUUCCGGUCAAGGACA